CCAACCAACCAACCAACCAACCAACCAACCAACCAACCAACCAACCAACCAACCAACCAACCAACCAACCAACCAACCAACCAACCUUCUGCUUACCCUUAGAAGACCUCAGGUCUUUUCAUCCCAAGCCUACUUUGUUUGAGGGGUGAUAAAGAGAGAAAAGCACUGCAGUGUGCUCUCUGAAGAGGCCACUUAAGAGGCAGUAAGGAAUCAUGGGGUAAUGAAGGUAUGACAAGAAUGAAAGCUUCAUACAAUCAAGCAGGCAAGAUUCCUACUGUUCAUGGGACAGUGACCCAAAGCUCAGUGUUAGUGCUGAGAUAAGAACUACAAGCCUUACCAGAUCCUCUCCUGAAGGAGCCACGGAAGAUGGCAGCUCUGGACUGCGUGGCUCAGUGGGUACGGGAACCUACCAGAUCUCUAAAUGGGCACAGUUGUGGAUCAUGUCUUUUACUAAGCUUGCUCUGAUAUUUUUGGUAAAUUCUCGCGAUGUCCUCUCCAAUUCUCAUUUGGCUAUGCAUGUGGAAGUCUUCACACGUGUCUGCAGUCAAAUGCUAGCCAUGUUUUCAAUCAACACAAUUCAUUUUUUAAAUUAUGGCUGUGAGAGUUUUCAGGUUGUGCUGACGAGCCCGGUACUUUUUAAAAAAAAAGCCUCAGACCAGUGUGUUUUGGGGAGGAGAGAGAAAGUGACAUCCAUUCUGGGAAGGAAGAAGCAAGAAUACCAUGAUCUGGCAGCCUGGUCUGUGUUUGCUCCAGUGAUGCAUUGCCAUGUGCUCUUUGGUAACGCUGCCCUUUCCGUGCCACAUGUGGAUUGUCAGAUGAGGAAGCUUGGCCCAAAAUAAAAGCCAGGCUGCUUUUCAUCUCUGGGAUUUGUUUGUGCCAAGCGAACAAAGUGACUUCUUUGUGGCUGUUUGCAUUUGUCGUUCCAAGUUGUCUGAGCACGAGGUUAUAAAUACGCACCAGGGUUUGAUAGCCUCAAUAUGUCCAGUCGGACAAGCCUUGCGUGCUGGCAAGAGAAGGAUUUGGCUUGCCUUAAUUAUUUUUGUUUUAAUAGUUUUUAAAAUGUUUGAUAUAAAUCAAAGAUACUGUAAAUAAAACUCAUGAGGACGGGGUUCCUCCCUUAGCCAUUUUGUAGAUUGGGUUUCUGACCUGUGAUUAUUGGCGAACUUUCUGUUUCAUAUUUGUAUUCUUUGCAGUCAUGUAUGUAAAGGGAUGCUGUCAAGUUAGGUAUGUAAUGUAAUGUCAGUGACAUUCUUAGAUUGCUUUUCGUACGGAAAUGAAAUGAUGUCAGUAUUCUAUCAACUUACCUCCUCUUUGAGGAGAUGCAAAGUAUGAGAGGAACGUGAGGCGCUGAGUUGUUCUGAGCUGUGCCUUAGGACUGCUAAUAGCCAAGGCUGCUGCCCUGGGCUGGUGACAAGAAGGCCCAUUAAUCAGCAGUGACUGAGCAGUCUGGGGUAAAUCCUGAGCCUUGGGGACUGUUAGCCAAAUCCUGACUGCUUCAUUUGGGAAUGUUCAACUCACUCGACUUGAUUUUUUUCUGUGCUCACCCUCAGCCCCCACCGCUGAAAAGUAAUACUGGUGAAAAGUGCCUCAUUGGGAAUAUAAUUUUAUGGAAAACGUUUUAUUUUUGUAUCCAAAUCUUCCACUCAGUGUAGGGUUUUCCAUUUGCUUUUAGCAAAGGCUGUUUUUCACUAUUUUUCUUGUCCAAAAUUCUUAUUAAGAAACUGAAUGCUUUUACCAAAAAUGGGCAUCUUUUCCUUCUCCUUCACCCCCUUCUCCAUGCACAACAUCCUUCAGACCCCUGAAAACAAUCUAAUUGAAAGAAAGCACAUUUCUGUUAAAAAUUUCCCAUGGAAAUGAUUUUGUUGUGGUUAAUGUCUGUUCUGUCUCUCUUCUGUCUGGAGCUGGAAGAAAAUUCCUCAAAAUCAUUAUCAGCCAGUGCAUCUCUAUAGCCUGAAUGAACUUCUAAACAUCUCAUUUAUUCCUUAAUGGAACAAUCCAGAAACCAUAGCUGUGGUCUCUGGCUUAUUUGUAAUUUGCAUACUGAAAUAGAUAUUUGAACAGUGAUUUGGAAAUCGAAAAUUGGUCAAAGAUCUCACAACUUUUAAGACUUGUGUCAAAGAAAAUGCACUUACUGGUUGCAGCAAUAUGCUGUGCAUUGUAUGUAUGCAUACACCCUUAUAUAUAUGUGUGUGUGUGCGUGUAUCUAAUAAGUACAUACAGUUGGAAGUGAAAGAUCAUGGGAUAAGUUUUGUAUGCUGAAUUUUAGUGUUUCUUGGUAUAUUAAGCUUCAUCCUGAGAGCAGUGACCACCCUAGGCAGGAGGCAAAUGGGCCCAGGUCUGUUUUAUGCAGUGCAUGUUUCUUUUUUUGCAUCCUCGUGCAAAAAGAAACUACAGUGCCCUGUACAUGUGUGAUAGCACAGGAAGAUGCAUGCUGUAUCUGUGUGGACUGAGUGGACUGAAAUGGGCAGAUUCAACCUGCUGCAGACCUUUCUAAUGUAGUAUGAAUGAGUACUUAUAGAAUCUGGCCCACACGUGAGAAUAGAUGCUUGGAUAUGUGUCCCUUUGCAAAUGCAGUCUGUGGCAAUGGGCUUCUUACUUGCAAUUAUUCCUCCGUGUGUAAGUUAGGAGGCAUAUAAUAUAAAUUGAAGCCUAAUUUUUUCUUUGAAGCUAUUAACACCCACCCACAUGCAACAGGAAACAGACUUCAAUUUUAAUUAGUACCAACACAUUGAAAAUUCACCCUAUAUUUGCCUUCAAGUGCAGCAAAGCAGCUUCAAAGCUAAAAGCUUCUUCACUUUCUAAGUAAUAAUGAGGUAUUAAUGAGGCAAUUAGGGGCUUGUAAACAUGGUGUCAAAGAGAUAUGAACUAAUCACCAGCAACAGGAAAAAGACAGAUCCCUCUGACUUCAGUGCUCUGCACUCUCCCUAGCCCCCUGAGGCAUUCUGUGCUUGUAAACUAAUCCGCAAAAAUGUUCUAGAUUAAUUCAAAACACUAUCCUCCUUUUAAUUCCCUGACUGUCUUCAGGCUUGUUUCUGAAUAGAUGCUCUGUGUGAAGGCUUUUAAAUAGGCACUUUUGUUAUUGCAAUAAAACCCAGAUUGAAGUUC